GUCCACUCCUCCCCCUGCUCUGGUUCGUGGCACAUCAGGAGACAUUGUUGUUCUGGUGUUGUUAGGAUUUUCUACUGUUUGGGAUCAAGUGUCUGCUGGUUGAGGUCAAUUUGAUUUUGUUUUGCUGCUAAAGUGUCAAAGCAGAGGAUGACCACAUGCUUGACUGAGUCACGAUGUGUUGAGGCUGGGAAGGUCGGCAUGGCCUCCAACCAUGGCAAAUACACCUACUAUGCUGCUGCCUUGCAAGCAGUAGUGGCUAAAAAUCAACCCCUAGCUGCAUAUUAUUUCUAGGGUAACAUCAUUGUAGGGAGGGAUUCUGAAGCCCAUCUACGCAGUAACCAGUGUGUUUGAGGCAAUUAGUACAAAAAACACCUAGGUAUGGUUAAAAUUCAGGUUAGGGUCUACAAGUAAUUAAUACAGUAUAAAUCUCCAAGGCCCUGAUUAUUUUCUUUUCCAAUCUUUAGUAUUCUCCUGUUUCAGGUUUUGACCAUGGCCAACAUAUAUUCUUGUAGGCUAAUUACUAAAUCAAUCUAACAAUGGUUCAUGUGGCAGUGGAGGUGUACCAAAGGUAGUUUGAAGCAGAUUAGGCGGCCGCGGGCGUCUUUGGCGGUGAGGCCGUCCAGUGAAGGAAAUGGCAGUGUGGCGAUUUGUGUUUUAUUCUCCAUCCUUUAAGCUCAUAACAGAAGAAAGAACUAUACAAUCACUAUUGUUUUAUUAAGAAAAGACCUGUCUUGUAUGCAUGUAUUGAUGAGUACUCCUCUUGACUCGAUUGUGUUGUAGGGAGCGAAAGCAUCUAGUUGCGGUGGUCUCCAACUCUGGUCGCCUCUAGCAGCACCACAUAAUCAAAGUUCCAAACAGUAGUGUUGGACUGCUGCCUCCAGCCAACCAUAACAUAAUCAUUGGAUGUGUUUCUUAUGUAGAAGAUUUGAGUGAUCUGCACGCACCAAGUUGGUGUAGGGGGACACCAUGGAAGGCUAUGUCGUAUAUUGUGGCGUCUGGAUUAGUCAUCAAUGAUCACUAACAGUCAUGCCGGUAUAUUUCCAGAAUCAUAACAAGGACGUAGUUCUUGCUACAGUUCUAAGUUAUGAUCCUAAAUUGAAAAUUGAUGGUGCUGAAAUUAAAAUGCAUUUUGGGCAGUGUAAUACAACACUUGCGAAAACUAAAGAUUUGGUACAGAGUCGCAAAAACUACAAUACUAAUGGUAAUGCAAAAAAAAAAAUAUUGCAUGGCCUUCAAUGUUUAUUGAAAAGAUAUAUGGAUGAUUAUAUGGGUGCGUAACAAGUAUACUGCAAUGAUGAUGACGACGACGACGAUAUUCUGGUUCAUGAUGUUGAUGAUGAUGGAUGCUUUCAAUUUUAGUUAAGUUGUGGGAUGUUCCUAUUGGAUGAUGUUCCUUAGUUAGUUUUAGUCAAGUUGUAGGGAUAUUGAUGGAUGAUUCUAGUUUAGAUUUUGCUGUCAAGAAAAUUUUAGAUUAUGCACACAUUUGGAUGAUGUUCCUCCUGUAAUAUCCAUUAUUGUAAUCCAACAUUUUUAUAUGAUAUAUGAUUUCUUCC